GAUGAACGCUGGCGGCGUGCCUAAUACAUGCAAGUCGAGCGAACAGACGAGGAGCUUGCUCCUUUGACGUUAGCGGCGGACGGGUGAGUAACACGUGGGUAACCUACCUAUAAGACUGGGAUAACUUCGGGAAACCGGAGCUAAUACCGGAUAAUAUUUCGAACCGCAUGGUUCGAUAGUGAAAGAUGGCUUUGCUAUCACUUAUAGAUGUACCUGCGCCGUAUUAGCUAGUUGGUAAGGUAACGGCUUACCCAGGCAACGAUACGUAGCCGACCUGAGAGGGUGAUCGGCCACACUGGAACUGAGACACGGUCCAGACUCCUACGGGAGGCAGCAGUAGGGAAUCUUCCGCAAUGGGCGAAAGCCUGACGGAGCAACGCCGCGUGAGUGAUGAAGGUCUUCGGAUCGUAAAACUCUGUUAUUAGGGAAGAAUAAACGUGUAAGUAACUGUGCACGUCUUGACGGUACCUAAUCAGAAAGCCACGGCUAACUACGUG
rnacentral:rRNA from 1 species